rnacentral:rRNA from 1 species
CAGUAGCCGCGGGAAUACAGAGGGUGCAAGCGUUAAUCGGAAUUACUGGGCGUAAAGCGCGCGUAGGUGGUUUGUUAAGUUGGAUGUGAAAUCCCCGGGCUCAACCUGGGAACUGCAUUCAAAACUGACUGACUAGAGUAUGGUAGAGGGUGGUGGAAUUUCCUGUGUAGCGGUGAAAUGCGUAGAUAUAGGAAGGAACACCAGUGGCGAAGGCGACCACCUGGACUAAUACUGACACUGAGGUGCGAAAGCGUGGGGAGCAAACAGGAUUAGAUACCCGAGUAGUCCCUGUCUCUUAUAC